GACGAACGCUGGCGGCGUGCUUAACACAUGCAAGUCGAACGGAAAGGCCCUGCUUUUGUGGGGUGCUCGAGUGGCGAACGGGUGAGUAACACGUGAGUAACCUGCCCUUGACUUUGGGAUAACUUCAGGAAACUGGGGCUAAUACCGGAUAGGAGCUCCUGCUGCAUGGUGGUGGUUGGAAAGUUUCGGCGGUUGGGGAUGGACUGGCGGCUUACCAGCUUGUUUGUGGGGUAGUGGCUUACCAAGGCUUUGACGGGUAGCCCGCCUGAGAGGGUGACCGGCCACAUUGGUACUGAGGGACGGACCAGACUCCUACGGGCGGCAGCAGUGGGGAAUAUGGCACAAUGGGCGGGAGCCUGAUGCGGAGACGCCGCGUGCGGGAUGACGGGUUUCGGGUUGUAAACAGCUGUCGCCUGUGACGAAGCGUGAGUGACGGUAAUGGGUAAAGAAGCACCGGCUAACUACGUG
rnacentral:rRNA from 1 species